rnacentral:tRNA from 1 species
GGGGGUGUAGCUCAGUGGUUAGAGCAGUCGGCUCAUAACCGAUUGGUCGAAGGUUCAAUUCCUUCCACCCCCACCA